GGUUUGUGUGUCCAUAUGUGAAGACACAGGUGUGGGAUUCCCUCAAGGGAGGAAUUGCUGGGUCAUAUGAUAUUCUGAUUUUCCAGUACGUUUUCAGAUCGAAAAUUAUUGGGAGAAACUGACAACCUAACAGCACAUCACACUAGCCAGGUUAAGUGGGAUUCAAGGGCCCUCCAGGAAGGACAGUCAAGAUUUUUGAUUCAACACUGAAUAAGGAAGCACCUGGAGA